UUUACGACAAGAUUCAAGAGAGAGAUAUAUAGAAUAAUGAGUUUACUCUGUUUGGCCUCUUACUAGAAAUUGUCCUUUGCUCGUACAAACGGCCCUUCAAAUGAAUGCUGAGCAACAAUCUUAAUUACUGGAAGUAUCUAGUUUCUUCAUCUAAUCACACAAACAGCUAUUCAAGUUCAGUCAAAUAGGUCUCUACCCGUUCUCUCCAAUCUCUGAAAAGGGAAGGAAGAAUAUUUUUCCCUUUAUAUCUUGCUGAACAUGUCUACAGACGGACCUUGUUGGCAGCGUGCUCAAAUGAGUUAAUUUUCUUUUCUAACUGGAAUGAAAGCAUGUCAAUGCAGAGAAUCGAUGUUAAUGUCAAAGUAUGUUCUGGUAUGACUGCAACUGACAUCUUUCUUGUUUUUGUAGAUUUCUAAUAUUUUGUAAGUGUUGACUGCUUUUAGUUCUCCAGAAUGUCCAUUGGGCAAAGUGGUGAUGCAAUGGCAAUUGGUAGUGAGUCAUCAUUUUACAUUCCAAAAUACAAUUAUGAUGUUCUAUCAACAUAUCUUGAUUGUGGAAGACCUAUUGCUGAUCAAGGCGUUGAUGAUUCUUUUAAACUACUACAUGAAAUAAAUGAGCCAGUCAGACCUGGAAUAUGAGUUGGUUACUGUUUUAUUUACGAUAGCUCUUCUCAGAAUUGGAAGCUCUACUACUGUAUUGGUGGUUAGGUACAAGAGGGAUUUCAACUGGUAUUCUCAAUUCAACUGGAAGCCUCUUUUGCCACAAUCCUUCACAAAUGCCUUUAGAUAAGCCUUCUAUUCAACCCCUGGAUUGCUUCUUCCAAUGCUACUUGAUUUUCCAUGUUGCUAGAUUACCUCACGAAAGUUGUUGUGCUGGCUAUUAUGGCUUGAUUUUUGGAAUCUCAGGGAUGGUUGGAAGAUGCUCUGGAAAUGGCCAGAGAUGCUGACUACAGUUGCUUUACAUCUUGACAGACUAGACAUUGUGAGGUGCCAACCUUGUGAAAAAGUUUAAAAAAGAUGCAAUGUGAUGAAGCAUUAGCUGACAAUGGGGAUUUUGAUCUAAAGUUAUUAUUGAGAAGUGAAAGAACCAGCUCUCUGAAAUCACCACAGGCUUGAACCUAUUGCUCUGCAAACUUUUUGGUUGUUCUUUUGUCAAAUGAAUGUUUGUCUGUCACAUGCUGUCACUUUGUAAAUGGUUGUAUUGUCAGCAUCUCUUGAUGUUCAUUUUGUGUAGUUUCUUUUGCAUGGAUAAUGUCCUAUAAGUGUUCUAUCUUUAUAUUUUUAGUAGAUAAAUGAGAAUAGGCGGAGUGAGAAUGAAGACGAUACUGUAGUGGACUAGUGUAGAAUGCUGUUUCAGCUAAUGGUGUUCUGGUCAUAAAUAACAAUGAAGGUAAAGAAAGAGGGAUACAGAUGGAAAGCGAUCGUGAUCACCCUAGGCCACUGUUCAUAUUGUUGAAAUUCUGAGAUUUAUGAACAUUGGUCAGUUUAUUUGCUUUAAUCCCUUUUGUGUCUAUUAUUGGUAGAAUAAUCUCCCUUUUGGUCUUCUUAUGACCAUCUAAUUGAAAUAUAAUGGCCUUUUCAUUUAUUAUAGCUCUAGAAUCUAUAUUUCUAGUUGGCUGUCAUUUUACACUAGACAAUGGAUAACCCCAUUUUAUUGUUGGAAUCAACCUUGACCCUGCCUUUUGAGGUCUUUGUCAAAUGCUUUGGUCUAUUUUUAAUCUUGAGCAUACUAGCAUUUUUCACAAACAUUACCAAUUCAUUAUGGUUCUAAAUAUUAUUGCUUGUACGGCUACUUUGAAGGAGAUGAUUAGAAACUCUUUACAAAAGGCUACUUCUGCACGAUGCUUGACACUCUAUUGGUCAAAUUGCCUUGUUUGACAAUUGACACUGUUAGCCCCUUCCCAUUUUUUGAGGGAAAAACGUUAAUUACAUGUUUGAUCCCUUGACUUUGCCUGAAGUUGUAUUUUUAUCUCUUAACUUUCAUUUGUUCCACUUUUAACCCUUAACUUUCCAAAAGCAUUCAAACAUUUAUUGUCUUCUGACAGUUAUUGAACGUAUAGAUUACACCAACUAAGAUCUCUUGUGGGUAACCCAUGGAUAUUCCAUGCCAAAUCACUGCCAUUUCAACACAGCUUGUAAAACAUCUAAAUGUCAUGUACAUUUGUCUUCAAUGGAUUUGUCCUAAAUCGCGGCCUCCCAUCUGAACAUUCACCCCAAAAUUCGAAUGGUUAGGUUCCUUGUUUCUUGCAGUGCGCAUUGAAAUAUAUCGCUUCUCACUCAGAAAAUCAUCAUAUACAUAGCCAAGAUUGAAGUCUGAGUUUCAUUGUAGUUUUACGCAGAGGAGUUUCAUGCCCUUGCACACUCAAAUUGACUCUUAUUUUGUCUUUCAUAGAUCUUUGGUCAGUUGUUGUCUGUUGAGCAGUUGUACUAGGAAAAUUAGGAGGGAGCAGAGGAAUGGUUAAUUGAGGGCAAUUCAUUGACAUGCAUUAGUCGUCAUAUGUAGUUUGAUUUGUUAAUACCAAUGUCAUUUUUGCUUCUUUUCCAACUUUUGUGACGUCCGCCACUUCAAUAGGUCAUGUUAUGCUUGAUCCAGCUGUUAUAUGCUACUUCUUUUUCCCCGUAUGUUAUAAUUUCAUGUGAACAUGGGUUUUAUAAUUACCUAUUUUCGCAAUUUUACUUAUAAGUGCCAACCUCAUGAACAAUUGACAUUCAUGAUAUACAUAGUUUGUUCUGAAUUUGGACAGCUCAAGCUGUGAACAUUUGAUCUGCAUUUUUUAUUGCUGACAUGAAAAAGUCAACAACAAAUCUUUUGAAAUUUCUUCAGGCAAGGUUUUUCUUCAGUCAGAAGCAACAACGAAUUUGUCAGACACAUGGUAUCCAAAAUCUGGAAUCUUCUAUUCUGAUUCUUUUUCCUGUCAAGGACAAAACCUUUACUCACCAAGAACAGGACAAAAUCUUGUAAAAUUUUCCCAUUGUUUACCUUUAGGUUAUUCAAUAACAAUAGAACGGUUGAAAUAUUUUCAAUGACUAAUUAUUUGGGGGGGGGGGGGACGACAAGAAAAUAAAAGGAAAAAAACCGACUGACAUGUAAUGGAAAACUUGAUAGCAAAACCUUUUAUAAACCUAUAUCUAAGCUUUCUUCCUUUGUAAAUUGGAUUAUAUGUACAUUUCUUGUGUAAUGACAUCUUGCUUCAAUACUUUCCUGUGGAGCUUUUGGGUUAAUAGGAUAAACAAUUGUUAGAUUGUGCUCAACACCUACAAGAACUUUGGUAAAGAUCAUCAUGAUUGUGUAAUUUUCGUGUCCUUUAUGUUCAUCUACUUUCCCAUCUCUGUCUUUCUCCUUCAGCAUGGAAUGGAAUAAUAAAAAUGGAACUUUAUAUACCAUGACUACCCAAAGCCCAAGAUUCUGUAAUUGCAAGAUACAAUCAUCACGAAUGCUUUACAGUAACAUUAUUCACCUAUCCAGUUGUUAGGUAAGGUUCUGGUCCAUUAAAGUUCUGGUCUAGGGACAAGUUUAUAUGCUUCCGUAGUUCUGAAACAAUGCAAGAUAACGUUUUGUGUUAUGUCAAGUGGUUGUUGCCAUGUCAGCACUUUUCUCGGGCAUGAGUCCUAGUUUUUCGCCACCAGCUUUUGAUUCCUGUGUUAUUUUCUCCUACCACUAACAGCAGGGUGGAUCUUCAUUGUUUGUUUCCUUUCAUAGUGUCUCUUCAAUUUCUUGAAUGAGUAAAAAUUAUUCUUGUGAUCCUACUUCGCUUUUACAGACCCUGAAGGGCAUGCGGAAAGAUGAAUAUGAGAAAAUGAAAAGGAGUUCUUUUUCAGAUCAUAGACCUAUGUCGACCGGAUUCUUCGUUGAAUAUUACUUUACAACUUAUAGCAGGUUGGCAGUGGGCCAGAAACAGGUAAUCCAAGGGGACCAGGCCCCUCAAAUGCUGUGCUUUCUUAUUCUUUCUUCCUGUUUUUCUUUAUGGUGGUUGGUUUUGGUGGUAAGAUAAACAUAAAUCAAUAUAAUGUAUGGUAUUAUGUUGGCUAAAUUACAAUUAUUGUGAUUUAGCAUUAAUAUAAGAAUGUUGGUUAUAAAUCUAUGUAGUCUGCCUCCGCCUGUUCUUGUCCGUUCCUCUCCAUUUCUUGUGAUUAGCUAAAAUACCUUUUUUCACAUUCUUAUUCUAUAUUAAAGCCCACACUCAUUGAAGAAUGUCCCAAUCAUAGCCAAUCAUUUGGUUACCUUUUGAUUAGAACAUUAUUUGAGGAACAUAAAGGUGGUCGGAGACCUAAAAGGCCAGAAUACUAGUAAAAAUGUUGUGAGCUGCUAAACUCUGGUCAUUUUUUAAAAGAAAGAUAAUCACAAGCAUCGCUAGAGGUCUUGAGUUAGAACUAUGGGAAUGCAGUAUUUUUUUGUGGUAGAGCUUUCACUUGAAAGGAUUAUAACCUGACUCAAUCCAGAUUAGUCUGGCAUCAUUAAAGUCCUCUCAGCUCGAUGUGGGGCAUGCCUAGGAUACCAGGUGGAAUGCGAAGCAUUAUAAAUAAAUAAAUAAUAAAGAGACUCACAAGCAUCUUCUUGCAAUAUGUUGUCUUUUUUCUUCUUAAAGCUAGCCCUAUUGUAUCAGAUAUGCGAUCUGAGCUGGCAUUCAAAAAAUUGCUUAUUCCCUGAGGAUGUGUGGUUUCUGUGUAUACGCGUUUUGCAGCGAAUCAAAUUUGUCACGGUUUGUUUCAUCAACACCAUUAUAUAUAUAUAAAUAUAUUGGUUGCUGUUGUAACGUGCCGACAAGUUUAUGGGUUAGGAUGGUUACAUAUAUAUAUAUAUAUAUAUAGUUUGAGUGUGUUGCAUGUAUCUUUGUUGCUUUCUCUAUCUAAAUUUCACGAGAUAAGAACAGAGCAUUUAAAAUGGAGGGAAAGGGUAGAGUGGGAGUUGGUGGGUCUCAUGUUGAGGUGAUAACUGCAGCUGAGCUUUGAGCUUGCUCGCCUACUUCCUGGUUUGGAGAUUAAAUUAACAAUCCAGUCUGUUUUUAAAUUUGUUAUAUAAUAUUCCUCAAAUUAUUGAUCAUUGUAUAAUAUAAUCUCAUUCUCGUCGUUGUUGGUUUUUUUUUUUCUCCCCUUAUUGUUCAUGGAUUAUAGGCCAAGUGCAUUGUAUGUUAUAUGUUAUGCAAAUUCUUCUC